GACGAACGCUGGCGGCGUGCCUAAUACAUGCAAGUCGAACGCACUCUCGUUUAGAUUGAAGGAGCUUGCUCCUGAUUGAUAAACAUUUGAGUGAGUGGCGGACGGGUGAGUAACACGUGGGUAACCUGCCCUAAAGUGGGGGAUAACAUUUGGAAACAGAUGCUAAUACCGCAUAAAACCUAACACCGCAUGGUGUAGGGUUGAAAGAUGGUUUCGGCUAUCACUUUAGGAUGGACCCGCGGUGCAUUAGUUAGUUGGUGAGGUAAAGGCUCACCAAGACCGUGAUGCAUAGCCGACCUGAGAGGGUAAUCGGCCACACUGGGACUGAGACACGGCCCAGACUCCUACGGGAGGCAGCAGUAGGGAAUCUUCCACAAUGGACGAAAGUCUGAUGGAGCAACGCCGCGUGAGUGAAGAAGGUUUUCGGAUCGUAAAACUCUGUUGUUGGAGAAGAAUGUAUCUGAUAGUAACUGAUCAGGUAGUGACGGUAUCCAACCAGAAG
rnacentral:rRNA from 1 species